rnacentral:rRNA from 1 species
UGUAUUGGAGAGUUUGAUCCUGGCUCAGCGCGAACGUUGGCGGCGUGCCUAACACAUGCAAGUCGAGGGG